rnacentral:lncRNA from 1 species
AAAUUAGAAAGAUCAUAUCAUAGGGAACAUGUGUACCAAGUUUGAAGUCGAUUGGACUUCAACUUCAUCAAAAACUACCUCGACCAAAAACUUUAACCUGAAGCGGGACAGACGGACGAACGAACGGACGAACGAACGGACGAACGGACGCACAGACCAGAAAACAUAAUGCCCCUCUACUAUCGUAGGUGGGGCAUAAAAAUG